rnacentral:rRNA from 1 species
UACGGGGGGAGCAAGCGUUGUUCGGAUUUACUGGGCGUAAAGAGCGUGUAGGCGGCUUUACAGGUCCGUUGUGAAAACUCGAGGCUCAACCUCGAGACGCCGGUGGAAACCGUAAAGCUAGAGUCCGGAAGAGGAGAGUGGAAUUCCUGGUGUAGCGGUGAAAUGCGCAGAUAUCAGGAAGAACACCCGUGGCGAAGGCGGCUCUCUGGGACGGUACUGACGCUGAGACGCGAAAGCGUGGGGAGCGAACAGG